CGCCCUACUCGCUGUGCUACACUAAAAUUGGAAUAAUACAGAGAAGAUUAGCAUGGCCCCUGCACAAGGAUGACACGCAAAUUCAUUCUUCGUAAUACCCGUUUUU